CUUAACACAUGCAAGUCGAACGGAAAGGCCCUUCGGGGUGCUCGAGUGGCGAACGGGUGAGUAACACGUGGGUGAUCUGCCCUGCACUUUGGGAUAAGCCUGGGAAACUGGGUCUAAUACCGGAUAGGACCAUGGCCUUCAUGGGUUGUGGUGGAAAGCUUUUGCGGUGUGGGAUGGGCCCGCGGCCUAUCAGCUUGUUGGUGGGGUAAUGGCCUACCAAGGCGACGACGGGUAGCCGGCCUGAGAGGGUGACCGGCCACACUGGGACUGAGAUACGGCCCAGACUCCUACGGGAGGCAGCAGUGGGGAAUAUUGCACAAUGGGCGCAAGCCUGAUGCAGCGACGCCGCGUGGGGGAUGACGGCCUUCGGGUUGUAAACCUCUUUCAGCACAGACGAAGCGUGAGUGACGGUAUGUGCAGAAGAAGCACCGGCCAACUACGUGCCAGCAGCCGCGGUAAUACGUAGGGUGCGAGCGUUGUCCGGAAUUACUGGGC
rnacentral:rRNA from 1 species